rnacentral:rRNA from 1 species
GAGAUGUGUGAUGACGCAUAUCAAUAAGCGGAGGAAAAGAAACUAACAAGGAUUCCCCUAGUAACGGCGAGUGAAGCGGGAAGAGCUCAAAUUUGAAAUCUUCAAGGCUCUACCUUGACGAAUUGUAGUUUAUAGAAGUGUUUUCUGUUAGUAGAGUGGCAAAAGUUCUUUGGAAUAGGACAUCAUAGAGGGUGAGAAUCCCGUAUUUGGUCAUUCCUCCUAGCGUUGUGAUACACUUUCAACGAGUCGGAUUGUUUGGGAAUGCAGUCCAAAAUGGGUGGUAAAUUUCAUCUAAAGCUAAAUAUUGGCGAGAGACCGAUAGCGAACAAGUACCGUGAGGGAAAGAUGAAAAGAACUUUGAAAAGAGAGUUAAACAGUACGUGAAAUUGUCAAAAGGGAAGCGUUUGACACCAGUGUUGUUUUUCCGAAAAUCAAUUACGAAUGUUUUGUUUUUGAGAAGUUAUGACUUCAUCGGCUUGCUUCUCUCUUUACGAAACUUUCUUAAUGCACUUUUCGGUUAACAAGUCAACAUCAAUUUCUUUUGUUGUAAAAGGGUAUGAGGAAGGUGGCUUUCUUUUCGGAGAAAGUGUUUAUAGCCUUGUACCUCUGCAAUCGGAGAGAUUGAGGUCUGCAGCGUAGAUCCUUCGGGGUUAGAUACAUUUGUGCUAAGUUAUAGCUUUUCAUAGACAACUUGUUGACUAUGUUAAGUCUUGUAGCUUACUCGCUUAUGCUAUUUUACCUACGCUUAGGAUGUUGAAGAUGUAGCACAUCAU